GAUGGAUGAGAGCUUGCUCUCAAGAAGUUAGCGGCGGACGGGUGAGUAACACGUGGGUAACCUGCCCAUAAGACUGGGAUAACUCCGGGAAACCGGGGCUAAUACCGGAUAACAUUUUGAACUGCAUGGUUCGAAAUUGAAAGGCGGCUUCGGCUGUCACUUAUGGAUGGACCCGCGUCGCAUUAGCUAGUUGGUGAGGUAACGGCUCACCAAGGCAACGAUGCGUAGCCGACCUGAGAGGGUGAUCGGCCACACUGGGACUGAGACACGGCCCAGACUCCUACGGGAGGCAGCAGUAGGGAAUCUUCCGCAAUGGACGAAAGUCUGACGGAGCAACGCCGCGUGAGUGAUGAAGGCUUUCGGGUCGUAAAACUCUGUUGUUAGGGAAGAACAAGUGCUAGUUGAAUAAGCUGGCACCUUGACGGUACCUAACCAGAAAGCCACGGCUAACUACGUGCCAGCAGCCGCGGUAAUACGUAGGUGGCAAGCGUUAUCCGGAAUUAUUGGGCGUAAAGCGCGCGCAGGUGGUUUCUUAAGUCUGAUGUGAAAGCCCACGGCUCAACCGUGGAGGGUCAUUGGAAACUGGGAGACUUGAGUGCAGAAGAGGAAAGUGGAAUUCCAUGUGUAGCGGUGAAAUGCGUAGAGAUAUGGAGGAACACCAGUGGCGAAGGCGACUUUCUGGUCUGUAACUGACACUGAGGCGCGAAAGCGUGGGGA
rnacentral:rRNA from 1 species